rnacentral:rRNA from 1 species
AACGAACGCUGGCGGCAUGCCUAACACAUGCAAGUCGAACGAAACCUUCGGGUCUAGUGGCGCACGGGUGCGUAACGCGUGGGAACCUGCCCUUAGGUUCGGAAUAACUCCCCGAAAGGGGUGCUAAUACCGGAUAAUGUCUUCGGACCAAAGAUUUAUCGCCUUUGGAUGGGCCCGCGUUGGAUUAGCUAGUUGGUAGGGUAAAAGCCUACCAAGGCGACGAUCCAUAGCUGGUCUGAGAGGAUGAUCAGCCACACUGGGACUGAGACACGGCCCAGACUCCUACGGGAGGCAGCAGUGGGGAAUAUUGGACAAUGGGCGAAAGCCUGAUCCAGCAAUGCCGCGUGAGUGAUGAAGGCCUUAGGGUUGUAAAGCUCUUUUACCCGGGAUGAUAAUGACAGUACCCGGAGAAUAAGCUCCGGCUAACUCCGUG